UAGGGUUCGAUUCUGGCUCAGGAUGAACGCUGGCGGCGUGCUUAACACAUGCAAGUCGAACGGACUUUAUGGGAUUUAUCUUAUAGAGUUAGUGGCGGACGGGUGAGUAACACGUGAGCAACCUACCUUUUGCAGGGGAAUAACACUGGGAAACCAAUGCUAAUACCGCAUGUUGUACUUGUGAGGCAUCUUACGGGUAUGAAAGGAGCAAUCCGGCAGAAGAUGGGCUCGCGUCCGAUUAGGCAGUUGGUGGGGUAACGGCUCACCAAACCGAGGAUCGGUAGCCGGACUGAGAGGUUGAACGGCCACAUUGGGACUGAGACACGGCCCAGACUCCUACGGGAGGCAGCAGUGGGGAAUUUUGGGCAAUGGGGGGAACCCUGACCCAGCGACGCCGCGUGAAGGAAGAAGGCCUUCGGGUUGUAAACUUCUUUGAGGAGGGACGAAGAUGACGGUACCUCCAGAACAAGCCACGGCUAACUACGUGCCAGCAGCCGCGGUAAUACGUAGGUGGCGAGCGUUAUCCGGAAUUACUGGGUGUAAAGGGCGCGCAGGCGGCAUUAAAAGUCAGGUGUGAAAGCCCAAGGCUUAACUUUGGACGGUCAUCUGAAACUUUAGUGCUUGAGUGUCAGAGGGGAAAGUGGAAUUCCUAGUGGAGCGGUAAAAUGCGCAGAGAUUAGGAGGAACACCGGUGGCGAAGGCGACUUCUGGCUGACAACUGACGCUGAGGCG
rnacentral:rRNA from 1 species